rnacentral:rRNA from 1 species
ACACUCCUACGGGAGGCAGCAGUGGGGAAUUUUGGACAAUGGGCGAAAGCCUGAUCCAGCAAUGCCGCGUGAGUGAAGAAGGCCUUCGGGUUGUAAAGAUCUUUUGUCAGGGAAGAAACGGUGAAAGCUAAUAUCUUUUGCUAAUGACGGUACCUGAAGAAUAAGCACCGGCUAACUACGUGCCAGCAGCCGCGGUAAUACGUAGGGUGCAAGCGUUAAUCGGAAUUACUGGGCGUAAAGCGUGCGCAGGCGGUUUUGUAAGUCUGAUGUGAAAUCCCCGGGCUCAACCUGGGAAUUGCAUUGGAGACUGCAAGGCUAGAAUCUGGCAGAGGGGGGUAGAAUUCCACGUGUAGCAGUGAAAUGCGUAGAUAUGUGGAGGAACACCGAUGGCGAAGGCAGCCCCCUGGGUCAAGAUUGACGCUCAUGCACGAAAGCGUGGGGAGCAAACAGGAUUAGAAACCCCAGUAGUCCCAUG